rnacentral:rRNA from 1 species
GACGAACGCUGGCGGCGUGCCUAAUACAUGCAAGUCGAGCGGACAGAUGGGAGCUUGCUCCCUGAUGUUAGCGGCGGACGGGUGAGUAACACGUGGGUAACCUGCCUGUAAGACUGGGAUAACUCCGGGAAACCGGGGCUAAUACCGGAUGGUUGUUUGAACCGCAUGGUUCAGACAUAAAAGGUGGCUUCGGCUACCACUUACAGAUGGACCCGCGGCGCAUUAGCUAGUUGGUGAGGUAACGGCUCACCAAGGCGACGAUGCGUAGCCGACCUGAGAGGGUGAUCGGCCACACUGGGACUGAGACACGGCCCAGACUCCUACGGGAGGCAGCAGUAGGGAAUCUUCCGCAAUGGACGAAAGUCUGACGGAGCAACGCCGCGUGAGUGAUGAAGGUUUUCGGAUCGUAAAGCUCUGUUGUUAGGGAAGAACAAGUGCCGUUCAAAUAGGGCGGCACCUUGACGGUACCUAACCAGAAAGCCACGGCUAACUACGUGCCAGCAGCCGCGGUAAUACGUAGGUGGCAAGCGUUGUCCGGAAUUAUUGGGCGUAAAGGGCUCGCAGGCGGUUUCUUAAGUCUGAUGUGAAAGCCCCCGGCUCAACCGGGGAGGGUCAUUGGAAACUGGGGAACUUGAGUGCAGAAGAGGAGAGUGGAAUUCCACGUGUAGCGGUGAAAUGCGUAGAGAUGUGGAGGAACACCAGUGGCGAAGGCGACUCUCUGGUCUGUAACUGACGCUGAGGAGCGAAAGCGUGGGGAGCGAACAGGAUUAGAUACCCUGGUAGUCCACGCCGUAAACGAUGAGUGCUAAGUGUUAGGGGGUUUCCGCCCCUUAGUGCUGCAGCUAACGCAUUAAGCACUCCGCCUGGGGAGUACGGUCGCAAGACUGAAACUCAAAGGAAUUGACGGGGGCCCGCACAAGCGGUGGAGCAUGUGGUUUAAUUCGAAGCAACGCGAAGAACCUUACCAGGUCUUGACAUCCUCUGACAAUCCUAGAGAUAGGACGUCCCCUUCGGGGGCAGAGUGACAGGUGGUGCAUGGUUGUCGUCAGCUCGUGUCGUGAGAUGUUGGGUUAAGUCCCGCAACGAGCGCAACCCUUGAUCUUAGUUGCCAGCAUUCAGUUGGGCACUCUAAGGUGACUGCCGGUGACAAACCGGAGGAAGGUGGGGAUGACGUCAAAUCAUCAUGCCCCUUAUGACCUGGGCUACACACGUGCUACAAUGGACAGAACAAAGGGCAGCGAAACCGCGAGGUUAAGCCAAUCCCACAAAUCUGUUCUCAGUUCGGAUCGCAGUCUGCAACUCGACUGCGUGAAGCUGGAAUCGCUAGUAAUCGCGGAUCAGCAUGCCGCGGUGAGUACGUUCCCGGGCCUUGUACACACCGCCCGUCACACCACGAGAGUUUGUAACACCCGAAGUCGGUGAGGUAACCUUUAUGGAGCCAGCCGCCGAAGGUGGGACAGAUGAUUGGGGUG